ensembl:lncRNA
UCCUUUCUUGUUAGUAUCAUUCACAACUUCUGUAGAAGGUGGGAGUCCAGAAAGCAAAGGGCGGGAUUUUCUCACAUGAUCUUGACCCAUGUUGGGUUUUCUGUCUUCCAUCUCCACCUUUAACAUUUAAUAUACCACAUCUCUCCAAAGGUCAUGCCUAUUCUAGUGUGCUGCACUCAGUGAAGAAGUUGGAGUAAGCGUCAAAAGAGUGAAGGCCAAGCUCUGACUGUGACAGAGAGUUUGAGAUAGACAACUGAUGCUUUGAAAAACACGUGACUUCUCGCUGGGACCUCCAUCUACUGUAAAUAACCAACAACCUGUUCAAGGAUCAAUGUGCCUCUGAGAUGAGGACAACAAGUCUCCCCUUGCAAUCAGAAUGGACCAUCACUAUGGACCUCAUCUAUUAGAUGCAGCUAUGGAGAAAGAACCCUUUGUCCAUCAUCUUCACCGCUGGAUGUGUUUAUAUUUGUGUCGCAGACCUUGAGCUUUUGAGUCUCCAAGGGGAAUCUUGGUCAUGUUACUACAGGAUGUGCAGUGGGUCUCCUUGACUGUCUUCUGUACAUUGACAAAACAGGUUGUCUAGCAAGCCUCUGGACAGGCAGCAUGGCAGAAAUCAACUCUUUCCAAAAAAAAGGCUGCUGCUGACACAGUGGAUAGAGCACACACAAGCUCCCUGUCUGACUCCUUCAGCUCCUGCAUGUCUCCUUGGCUAACAUUUCAGAGCUUCUGAUUCUUCAGACAUCAGCUUCUUGAUACUGAAGAGAUUGUUCUACCUGAUGAGCCCAGGCCUAGAAGAUGGACUGCAUCCAAGAAGCCUGGUCCAUCUAAGGCCAAGUCACAUCUUUAAGAAAUAUUUGAAAGCAUUUGUGCACAGGAUAAAGGUGCAAGGACCAAAGUCUCCUUAGACUUUCCAGCAUACAGAGGGUCUGACAGACUCAGGUCAAAGGUUACGUCUGAAGCCUAGAUUAUGAAGAAGGCCCCACUCCACAGUAGAAGCCUGUGGCUGAUGCUGUUGCAACCAGGACUAUGAUUGUGAAACUUUUGUCUGUUCAGGAUAGCAGGUUCAGGAAUCUUGUGCCCAGGUAUCCACAGGCCUUUUUUCAUACAUUUCUUGGUAUAAUUUUGCAAGUCCUGACUUUGGACAUGUCGGGUGCUGAUGGUAUCUCACUUGAUAUAUAGUCCAAGAAAGAUUUUUACCCCUUUAAGGGGCUGGAAAUAGACUGGCCUCACAGUUACCAUUAAAACUGAAGUUCUGUCCUUUGUGGUUAUUGGCCCUUUUAAAACUUGUUUGACUGGAAACAAAGCUCAGAGCCUGAUAUUUCCAAGAUUCACCCCUACAAAAUUCAGAAACCCACAGCUCAAAGCAGUACAGAUACCACUCAGAAAUGAAUCCAAGGACAAGGUGUCUGACAUGAGAAUCUUACAGAUUUAUUUAAAGGUCCAGGACUCAGCAACACUACACCUACGUAGAAUCAUUCAGGGAUUCCCCCGUUAGAAUUUGGGAGCUGCCAUUCACAGAAAUGACCCAUGGGAGACUCUUAUUUCCAUAUCAUAGCCUCCAUGACCCAUAGUGCUGUGACUGCCAUGCUCUCUGUCAAACUCCACAGGAGGUCACCAUUAGUAGAAUAACAGUGCAGGGCAGCAGAGCAGUACAGUGGCCCUAGGGUGGUGUCGUGGGUGGUUCCAGAAGAUACUGACAUCACACCACCCUCUACAUCUAGAAUGAAAGGAAGAGGAACACGGGAGGGAGUGUGUGAUUGAAUUCAUGGCCCAAAGCAGCCUAGGUGUCAGCUAUCAGUCUGGAAGAGCACGUCUGCCUCUGUAUGGAGGAUUCAGGUCAGGAAUGUGACCGGAACCAGAUGAAUCAAUUCUCGCAAGAGGAAAGUCCUUUACGUGACAUCUUGCACCACAACAGAAUAGCCACAAGAUAGCUUGUCCUUAUAGGAACUGGCACACCAAGGGCAUAGGGGAAGUCUCUGGAAUAUACAGGAUUGGUUGAGUACCACACAGGAUGGCUGACAAGCUAGCAGAAGAGUAGGACACACACUGAGGUCAAGUGCCAGGUAUCAUGACCUAUGUAGCCACACAGCUGGACUGAAGGGCUUUCUUGCUCUGACUGAAGCAGAACCAAAGCAGGGCCUGCCUCAGCCUCCAUCUGUACCUUGGCUCUAGCUGCUUCUUUCUCUUGCAAGUCACAAGCAUCAUGAAGCAACUGUCUUGGUUCCCGAAACCACAUGGUCUUUGUUCACGUUAAAGACAGGGCAUGCAAGAAUGUAUUCUCCUCCUACCUAUGUGCUGGACUAGGGACAGGAGACCAGAUUCCUAGGCCUGAACUUCUGACCAUUCCCAUAGUGUAUCAGGGAAAUAUUUAACCUUGGAUUUCCUGCUCUUAGAGGCCAAAAUAAACCUGUCAGUCCGGGAGUCUUAUCAAGAAUGAUACUCUGGGAUUCAUCUAAGCCAGGCCUCUUACUCAACCCUUCUGCUGCCUAUUUCCUGGUGCUAAGCAUGGACCUCAAAGUCACCCUAAGCCUGCAUCCUGAGUUCACACCCUGAGAUGCACUUAAGACUGACCUGAGAGCUGCUCAAGAGGACACACACGGGUUACACCACAAAGAAAAGUCUAUCAAAGCUGACAUAGGCCAGGAGUUUGGCCCCUGACUCGACAGUGCUUGUCCAGUGAGUGUUUUACACAUUAUAUGGAACCCCAGGACCAGAGCCAGAGUCACAAAGUCAGGGGCAGUAUAUAGUGUGCAAUUAAUAGCCAAUGGAAUCUUCGGUAGCAAGCUAAGAACCUGCAGAGAAACCUCAAACCCAGCCUGCUGGAUGGUGCCAAGAUCCAGUAAGUAACACUUCCUAAGAGAAAACUCUUCCUGGGAGAAUUGCAGCCCAGUAAAUGGAUGCUCUCACGAUUCUCGGUGAAAUAACUCAUGGACCUUUUUCCUUGUGAACAGGGAACUUCAAAACAUCAUGGGGUGAGGUGAGGUGAGAUCCAGGGAAGAAGGCUGCCCUUUGGCUCAAUCUGAGAAGUUAGGAUGCUUCAUUUGCAGGGGGGAGGAUCUCAGGUGUUGUCCCUAAGUGACAUCAUCAUCCUGGUGAAAUGUCAUGUCACUUGUACUGAGACCAGUAGGCCUGAGUUGUAACUAAUGCCUACACUUUUCAAUUAGGA